AGACGGAGGUUGCAAGCGUUGUUCGGAUUUACUGGGCGUAAAGGGAGCGCAGGCGGCUUGGACAGUCUAAAGUGAAAUCCCGGGGCUCAACCCCGGAAGUGCUUUGGAUACUUCCAAGCUUGAGUACGUGAGAGGUGAGCGGAAUUCCAGGUGUAGCGGUGAAAUGCGUAGAUAUCUGGAGGAAUACCGGUGGCGAAAGCGGCUCACUGGCACGAGACUGACGCUGAGGCUCGAAAGCGUGGGGAGCGAACGGGAUUAGAAACCCCAGUAGUCC
rnacentral:rRNA from 1 species